UCCCUGGAAGACUAAUGGUAAGGCCUUGGCGCUCUCACCUCCGCAGCCUGGGUUCAGUUCCCGGCCAGGGAA